GGAGCUUGCUCCAAAGUUAGUGGCGAACGGGUGAGUAAUGCGUCGGAACGUACCGAGUAAUGGGGGAUAACGCAGCGAAAGCUGUGCUAAUACCGCAUACGCCCUGAGGGGGAAAGUGGGGGAUCGCAAGACCUCACGUUAUUCGAGCGGCCGACGUCUGAUUAGCUAGUUGGUGGGGUAAAGGCCUACCAAGGCGACGAUCAGUAGCGGGUCUGAGAGGAUGAUCCGCCACACUGGAACUGAGACACGGUCCAGACUCCUACGGGAGGCAGCAGUGGGGAAUUUUGGACAAUGGGGGCAACCCUGAUCCAGCCAUUCCGCGUGAGUGAAGAAGGCCUUCGGGUUGUAAAGCUCUUUCAGCUGGAACGAAACGGUACAUCCUAAUACGGUGUGCUAAUGACGGUACCGGCAGAAGAAGCACCGGCUAACUACGUGCCAGCAGCCGCGGUAAUACGUAGGGUGCGAGCGUUAAUCGGAAUUACUGGGCGUAAAGCGUGCGCAGGCGGAUUGUUAAGCAAGAUGUGAAAUCCCCGGGCUUAACCUGGGAAUGGCAUUUUGAACUGGCAGUCUAGAGUGUGUCAGAGGGGGGUGGAAUUCCACGUGUAGCAGUGAAAUGCGUAGAGAUGUGGAGGAACACCAAUGGCGAAGGCAGCCCCCUGGGAUAACACUGACGCUCAUGUACGAAAGCGUGGGUAGCAAACAGGAUUAGAUACCCUGGUAGUCCACGCCCUAAACGAUGUCAACUGGUUGUUGGGGGGAGUGAAAUCCCUUAGUAACGAAGCUAACGCGUGAAGUUGACCGCCUGGGGAGUACGGUCGCAGAUUUAAAACUCAAAGGAAUUGACGGGG
rnacentral:rRNA from 1 species